UAUGUGAGCAAAGGAAAAUGUGACGGCAAGAACAAAGUCCAACAGCCUGCUAACUUCAAGAAUAAGGAGACCUAUAAGAAGAAACGAAAAUGCCAUGUAUGCGGCAGUGAGAAUCAUUAGGCUUCAUCCUGCAAUGACCCUGGGACAUGCAUCAAAAUGAGAACAACGGCAAUACCUCCAAUGUUGUUAUUGGCGAUGAUGAGAUGAAAUAUGCUGAGUAUGGUCACAAGAACUACACCUGUGCUGAUGGGGAACGUGUCUUAUGCUUCUGUUCAUGGUGUUGGUACAGUCGAUCUGAAGUUUACUUCGGGGAUCGUGCAACUGAAGAAUGUGCAGCAUGUCCCUUCUAUAAAUAAAAAUCUUGUCAGCGACUCUCGUUUGUGUCGAGAUGGCUAUAAGUUGGUGUUUGAGUUCAAUAAGGUUGUAGUGUCCA